GGGGAUAUAGCUCAGUUGGUAGAGUGCUUGCCUUGCAUGCACAAAGACCUGGGCUCAAUCCCCAGCACCA
rnacentral:tRNA from 1 species